rnacentral:tRNA from 1 species
GUCCCAGUAGUAUAAAUAUUACUCUGGUCUU